GCUUAUACUCGACCGUCGGCGGCACGUGCGAUCGCGCGCGUUUCGGCGCGCGCGAUCACGAAGCCCCGACGAGUAGGAGGGUCGCGGCGGUGAGCGCAGAAGGGCUGGUCGCGAGGCCGUCUGGAGCCGCCGUCGGUGCAGAUCUUGGUGGUAGUAGCAAAUACUCCAGCGAGGCCCUGGAGGACUGACGUGGAGAAGGGUUUCGUGUGAACAGCCGUUGCACACGAGUCAGUCGAUCCUAAGCCCUAGGCGAAAGCCGAUGUCGAUGCGGUGUGGAUUUAUAUCGUUUUUACGUAGGAGUAGCGAGAGCGAGACAAACGUUAAUUCGUUCGUAACUCUAACGUGUAUCGAGCCUAUCGAACACACCCAUCGGGCGAAAGGGAAUCCGGUUCCUAUUCCGGAACCUGGCAGCGGAACCGUCAAAAAGUCGGGC
rnacentral:rRNA from 1 species